AUGUCCAAGGCGCAGCUGAACCAGCUGUGCCAGCAGCGGCGGUGGCCGGCGCCGGACUACACCCACCGGAGCGAGGGGCCGGCCCACUCGCUGAGGUUCCGCGCCACCGUCACCGUCAACGGCGAAGUGUACCACUCGCCGGACGACGACGACGGGUUCAGCACGGCCAAGGAGGCGCAGAACCUCGCCGCCAAGGCCGCCUUCGAGCGCCUCUCCGCCCUCCCGCCCCCUCCCCCGCCGCAGUCCGAAACCCAACUUCCCUACAAGUCUCAGUUGCAAGUUCAUGCUCAGAAGAGACAUAAAGAUUUGCCUUCAUAUGACACCAUUCGAAGUGGUCCACCUCAUGCACCUCUGUUCAGGUCUACAGUAACCAUAGAUGGGCGCAAAUUUGAAAGUCCUCAAGACUAUCACACAACAAAGGAGGCAGAAUUUGCUGCUGCAAGAGUGGCUUUAAUGUCAUUGUGUCAAGAAGCAAACCCAUCAGAGCAAAUGCCGGUUGGAUCAGCUUCAUGUAUUUCUUUGCCUGGAAUCCAGAUUAAUCAUAAGCUUCAAUUGCAAAUGUAUGCUCAGAAGAGAGGAAAACAACUGCCUUGGUAUGACCGUAUCCAGGAAGGUCCAUCUCAUGCACCUCGGUUCAAGUCAAUAGUGACCAUAGAUGGGCAAACAUUUGAAAGCCCACAGUAUUGUCAUACAAUUAAGGAGGCGGAAUAUGCUGCUGCAAAUCUUGCUCUGGUGUCCUUAGCCCAAGAAGUUCAAGGAAUGCAAUAUACAAAUCCCCGGCAUGAAUUAGCUGAGAAAGAAGGCUCUUCCUUGCCUGUCUGUAAUACUUCAUCAGAUAAUUUAAAAGAUUCCUCCAUCUCCAAAUCAACUGUACACACUCAAGGCGAAAGUUUUCAGGAGGGACCUGGUAACAAUAAGAAGCAAAAACAGAUGACGGUUGCUGCUUUUCAACCUUCCAAAGACACUGAGCAUGAUUCUUGCUCUGUUGGCUCCCGUAUUUAUCUUCCUGUUGCUGACAAAACACAAUCUCUUGAUGAACCUAUCAAAUCUGGCAGUAUGGAAAAUGUUAAACCAGCUGCUCCAGAGCCAAGCAUCAAGGCUGAAGUAAUCGACUUGACACAAGAAUGCAGGUCACCCCCGUUAGUUUCAGUGCCACCAACUGAUAUGCUCAACCUUGUGGCAACAACAAGUACAGUGCCUGUUGCUUUACAAUCUCCUGUUGAAACUAUCCAACCUGUCAAGAUGGAAAAUGAUAAACCAGCCAUUCCAGAGCCAAGCACCGAAGCUGAAGUAAUGGACGUUGCAGAACCAAGUGCUGAGGCUGAAGGAAUGGACGUUGCAGAACCAAGCGCUGAGGCUGAAGUAGACGUUCCAGAGCCAAGCAUCGAGGAUGAAGUAAUGAACUCAACUUCAGAACACACAUCUCUCCCCUUGGGCUCAAUGCCACCAACCAAUACUUCCAGCCUUGCGGUGAAAGCAACUGCAGUGCCUGUUGAUUCUGCCCGAUGCAGUUACUCGAUGUCAACUAACCGAAUCCAGAUCUACCCAUGCCGUCCUGACCUGAAAUUACCAGAGGGGGCGACCGUGCUUCCCUUUAGUGACGACAAGUGGGUGGCCGUGAGCUUACCUUUACCUUGA
rnacentral:rRNA from 1 species